UGGAGGCUGUGUAUGCAUAAGAAGACCCCAUUCUCUUGGUUCCAACUAAUUGUGCCAGGGGCCACAUGUCUCAGAUCCCUUUUCUCAAAGACCCAAAGCAAGGAACCUUACAGAUGGCUGGGGGCAGGGGAACUGGCUAUAAGAUCAGAAUCAGCCUAAUGAGCAGCAGAUAAUGAAGGUGAUGCAGAUGGAACUGAGUCACCAGGCUUUGGGUGCCAUGAGAGACCACAUGGUCUGAUGGGGAGUCAUUUUCUUCAGGAAAGGGAGUGGCUCUUUGCCCUGAUGACUUCCGUUCUGUCCUUGGAUUGUAGGAAAGUAUAUGGGCUGGAAAGAUGAAGUCACGAAUAAGUGUACAAUGGAGUUUUCAAGAGGCCACCUGAUGUGAUAGCUCAACAGAUUGAAUGAAGAAGAUACAAGAAUCCAGAUUUCUUCUAUGAAGCUAGACAGUAAAGAGAUUUACAGAUGUGUAAACAAAAUCACUUCUCAGAUUUUCUUGUUUUGAAACACGCAUUAUUUUUUCAUUAGAAAGUAUUUGUUAACAUUUUACCAUGAUUUUCAUCUGAAAUUGAUGAUUUAUCUCAGUCGUUAUUUCUAAAUGAAUUAAUGACUGUUUUGGGUAUUUUCUCAGCUUUAAUUUCUAGUGCUACAAAUAUUGAUAGAUAUGACCUAUAUAAACAGAAGCCCUUUGGUGUCCUCAAGGGAGAAUGUAAAUGGGGCCAAACACCAAAAAGUUUGAGAGUAACUAAAUGAAAUCAUUGUCUGAUACAUAGAACGGCCAGUAUGAGACCUAAAAGCUAGAUUGUUUGUGAUGGGGAUUCUGUUGAUGACUCAGUGGAAAAACAGUGGUCAAGGAAGCCAAAGGAUUGAAACCUAAGAUGAGUUUAGAAUAGCUGGUCUAAUCUGCAUCUCUAGAUUUAAGAGGUGGUGAGUAAAUUAACCUGGACAUUGGUCAUAUUUGCCAGAUUGUAUUUAUCAUGAUAGGGUUACAAACGGAGGUGGGAGAUUGUGCUGGCAUGGAAGUAGCUGAACGUCGACUUGGAAAGACAAAACUUUUACAUAGGUAACUCAUUGUCUAGGAUUACAAAAUAAGGGCUUGUAUCAGUGAAGGAAGGAAGGGGUAUUUGUGACAGGGUGUGAUAAAAGUCAAAAAAGACCAGGAGGUGUGGGAAGAGUCAUAGAAGGUUAUCUUUGAAGGGACAUGUAGUUAUCCUUUGCAGCAAACAUUUUAUUUUUAUGUUUUAAAAUUACACAAGGAUUGCGUGAAUAGGUUUUGUACUUAAUUAUUCUAACUGUCCUAAGUGGGAAUUUUUUGUGGGGAGGGAGCUUGGGCAGUGAAGUUGAACCUUUAGCCCUCUACUCAAUCAUUCUCUUCUAUCCUGAGAUGAUUUUCAUAAACAGUUUGGUAAAUAUCUUUCCAGGCCUUUUUUUAAAUUCAUUAAA